GACGAACGCUGGCGGCGUGCUUAACACAUGCAAGUCGAACGGAAAGGCCCUGCUUUUGUGGGGUGCUCGAGUGGCGAACGGGUGAGUAACACGUGAGUAACCUGCCCUUGACUUUGGGAUAACUUCAGGAAACUGGGGCUAAUACCGGAUAGGAGCUCCUGCUGCAUGGUGGGGGUUGGAAAGUUUCGGCGGUUGGGGAUGGACUCGCGGCUUAUCAGCUUGUUGGUGGGGUAGUGGCUUACCAAGGCUUUGACGGGUAGCCGGCCUGAGAGGGUGACCGGGCACAAUGGGACUGAGAUACGGCCCAGACUCCUACGGGAGGCAGCAGUGGGGAAUAUUGCACAAUGGGCGGAAGCCUGAUGCAGCAACGCCGCGUGCGGGAUGACGGCCUUCGGGGUGUAAACCGCUUUCGCCUGUGACGAAGCGUGAGUGACGGUAAUAGGUAAAGAAGCACCGGCUAACUACGUG
rnacentral:rRNA from 1 species